GUGCCAGCAGCUGCGGUAAUACAGAGGGUGCGAGCGUUAAUCGGAUUUACUGGGCGUAAAGCGCGCGUAGGCGGCGAUAUAAGUUGGAUGUGAAAUCCCCGAGCUUAACUUGGGAAUUGCAUUCAAAACUGUAUAGCUAGAGUAUGGAGAGGAAGGUAGAAUUCCAGGUGUAGCGGUGAAAUGCGUAGAGAUCUGGAGGAAUACCGAUGGCGAAGGCAGCCUUCUGGCCUAAUACUGACGCUGAGGUGCGAAAGCAUGGGGAGCAAACAGGAUUAGAUACCCUGGUAGUCCAUGCUGUAAACGAUGUCUACUAGCCGUUGGGUCUAUGAGACUUUAGUGGCGCAGCUAACGCGAUAAGUAGACCGCCUGGGAGUACGGUCGCAAGACUAAAACUCAAAUGAAUUGACGGGGCCCGCACAAGCGGUGGAGCAUGUGGUUAAUUCGAUGACAACGCGAACGAACCUAACUGGCCUUGACAUACUAAGAAG
rnacentral:rRNA from 1 species